UGCGUAGGCGGCAUGUCAAGCCAGAGGUGAAAGGCAUUGGCUCAACCAAUGUAAGCCUUUGGAACUGACGCGCUUGAGUACAGGAGAGGUAAGUGGAAUUCCUAGUGUAGAGGUGAAAUUCGUAGAUAUUAGGAGGAACACCAGUGGCGAAGGCGACUUACUGGACUGUAACUGACGCUGAGGCACGAAAGCGUGGGAGCAAACA
rnacentral:rRNA from 1 species